rnacentral:rRNA from 1 species
UGAGCAAUCUGCCCUUCUCUUCGGAAUAAGCGUUGAAAACGACGUCUAAUGCCGAAUACGACCUCCUUUCGCAUGAUCGGAGGUGGAAAGCUCCGGCGGAGAAGGAUGAGCUCGCGGCCUAUCAGCUAGUUGGUGUGGGUAAUGGCCCACCAAGGCGACGACGGGUAGCCGGCCUGAGAGGGUGACCGGCCAUACUGGGACUGAGACACGGCCCAGACUCCGUACGGGAGGNAGCG